CGCUGGCGGCGUGCCUAACACAUGACAAGUCAACUUGACUGAAGGAGCAAUCUGACAGUAGAGUGGCGCAAGGGUGCGUAACGCGUAAGUAACUUGCCCCAAGGUAAGGAAUAACGUCGAGAAAUCGGCGCUAAUACCUCAUAAUGCAGCGGAUCCGCAUGGAUAUGUUGUUAAAGGUUUACCGCCUUGGGAUAGGCUUGCGUCUGAUUAGCUAGUUGGUGUGGUAACGGCACACCAAGGCUACGAUCAGUAACUGGUCUGAGAGGAUGAUCAGUCACACUGGAACUGAGACACGGUCCAGACUCCUACGGGAGGCAGCAGUGAGGAAUAUUGGGCAAUGCUCGAAAGAGUGACCCAGCAACGCCGCGUGGAGGAUGAAGGUAUUCUAUAUCGUAAACUCCUGUGAGAGCAGACGAAAGACAGAUUAUUAAUCUGGAUGACUGUAUGCUCAGAGGAAGCCCCGGCUAACUACGUG
rnacentral:rRNA from 1 species